GGCGGCGUGGAUAAGAAUGCAAGUCGAACGGGAUAUUAUUUGUAGCAAUACAAAUGAUGUCCAGUGGCGUAAGGGUGCGUAACACGUGGGGAAUCUGCCGAGAAGUGGGGGAUAGCUCGUCGAAAGGCGAAUUAAUACCGCAUGUGGUUAGGGAAGACAUCUUUCCGACACCAAAGCCGGGGCAACCUGGCGCUUCUUGAUGACCCCGCGGCCUAUCAGCUAGUUGGUGAGGUAACGGCUCACCAAGGCUAUGACGGGUAGCUGGUCUGAGAGGACGACCAGCCACACUGGAACUGAGACACGGUCCAGACACCUACGGGUGGCAGCAGUCGAGAAUUUUUCUCAAUGGGGGAAACCCUGAAGGAGCGACGCCGCGUGGAGGAUGAAGGUCUUCGGAUUGUAAACUCCUGUCAUUAGGGAACAAGUUGCAUGUGUUAACUGCAUAUGCAUUGAUAGUACCUGAAGAGGAAGAGACGGCUAACUCUGUGCCAGCAGCCGCGGUAAUACAGA
rnacentral:rRNA from 1 species